GUAUUACCGCGGCUGCUGGCACGGAUUUAGCCGGUGCUUCCUUUGAUGGUACCGUCAAACAAUAUGGGUAUUAACCAUAUUGCAUUUCUUCCCAUCCGACAGAGCUUUACAACCCUAAGGCCUUCUUCACCCACGCGGCGUCGCUGCGUCAGGGUUUCCCCCAUUGCGCAAUAUUCCUCACUGCUGCCUCCCGUANGAGUCUGGUCCGUGUUUCAGUUCCAGUGUGGCGGAUCAUCCUCUCAGACCCGCUAACCAUCGNCGCCUUGGUAAGCCUUUACCUCACCAACAAGCUAAUGGUACGCAAACUCAUCCCUAUACGGCAACUUUCAAGAAGAGGUCACCUUUCCUCACUUAGACUCGCGUCUUAGUAAGGGUAUCCGGUAUUAGCUAGCCUUUCGGCUGGUUAUCCCAGAUAUAGGGGCAGAUUAUCUACGCGUUACUCACCCGUGCGCCGCUCUACUUACAGACCGAAGUCUUGCUUUCGCGUUCGACUUGCAUGUGUUAAGCACGCCGCCAGCGUUCGUUCUGAGCCAGGAUCAAAACUCUAAGG
rnacentral:rRNA from 1 species